AAAAAAAAAAAACAAAGUAACAGGAAAGCUCAUAUAAAUGAACAUGCAAGAGAAAAAAAAAUCAUUUUUUAACUAAAGUAAAUUAUUGCAUACUUCCCUCCUAGAUUACUCUGAAAAAUAAAAAAUAAAAUACACAAAAUUAAAAAUAUACGAGCUUUGUUAACAGAUACAUAUUACGUACAUUUACGAUUACAUUCUUAGCAUAAUAUCAAAAUUUUCAAAAACAUUACAGUUCUUUUAUUCUAUUUACAUUGUAAGUAUCUCUCUACACAGAUUAUGCCAAAAAUACUUUUUGAAUAUCAGUUAAUCAGAUUUAAAAUAGAAUCAGGUGCAGGUGAUAUUACUUAAAAAAAUAAUAUUUCACUGUGCCACGGCAUAUAAGAUAAAAGUGUAAUCGGCAUAUAAGAAGGCACAAAAUCAAGAGAGUUGACAUGAAUGGACUGCUGUUGGGAGUGUGAGUUGGACGGAUUUGAAAUAAAGAUAAGAGGAAAGGCAUAGGUGGGACCUGUUUACUGUGCCACAGCAUGAACCGUGAUGUUUUUUGCCAGCUGGUGGACACGUGAUUCUUGAUUAGUUCAAUUACUGCAUUUGAUCAAACAUGGCCCCACUCUUUGAAUAUUUAAUUUAAGAAAAAAACCCAACCAGAACACCUCAUAUUUCCUGACUGAAAUGCUUGCUUGCUGCGGGCUACUACAAUAUAUAAGAUAUAUCUAUACUGAAACCCUUUAUCUUUAAUUGGCAUUAUUAAAAGAUUUUGUAACCUUACACCGUGGAAAUACUGGAAAUGACAAUUUUAACUCAUUUAAAUGUAAAAGUUAAUUAACAAAUUUAUUUUGGAUAAUUUAUACAAAAUAUGAAUAAAUAUUGUAUUUCUAAAAUAUAAGUCGUUUAAAGUAUUGCAUGCGAUUAAUGAAUCAAUUAAUUUCGCUAAAAAUUAUAUCACUCCGUCUCAAAAUUUAAGUUGUCUAAGGUGAUAAUUUUAUCACAAAAUAUAAGUCAUUUUGAAUAUUUUAAGAAAUUACAAAUGAUUUUUUUUCUUUCAACUGUAUCCUUAUUUAUAUUAGAUAUAAUACAACGAUGUGAGAUAAAAGUAACAAUGAGAGAUAAAUGAUAAUUUGUUCAAAUUACUCUUGAUUUUGUUAGAAAUUUAGAAAAAUUAAUUGCAUUUUUAAUUCUCGUAUAAAAAUCUUAAACGACUUAUAUUUUGGACAAAUAGAGUAAUAAACUCAACAAUAAUUUGAUUUAUGAGAAUUAAUUUAAACGAUCAAAUUAUCCUUAAUCUCAAAAUCAAGUUAUUGUAUUAUGAAUAAAGUUAAAAUUGGAAAAAAGAUUAUUUGUUAAAUAUGUUUUGAAAUCAAAUAGUUUUAUGAGUUAAAAAGAUUAGAAAUAAUCAUUUUUUAAAUUCAUUUGGUGUUAAAUUGGGAUGAUAAAUUAUCAAAAAAAAAAAAAAAAUAUAUAUAUAUAUAUAUAUUUGACAAACAGAUUGAAAGCUAGUUCUUUUGAAAGUUUACUGAGAACACAAAUUACAAGCUCAUAGUAGUUAGUAGCUUGAUUAAGGAAACCCAUGAAGGACAAAAUGACAGUGGCAAAUGCCUUUGAGACCAAAAGGCUUCAGCUUCAAUUUUUUAUAACGUAACAUUUAAUAUCUUUCUCUUUAUGAUUUUUAAAUUAUUGUAAUUGCUAUCAACAGUAUAAAGUAUAGAAAAUUCAUUAUAUAUAAUAUUGAAUAAAAAAAAAAAAAGGGUGAGAAAUGUCAUUAUUUAUAGAAUUAAUUCACACAAACAUAAAUGCGAAGCUUCAUUCUACCUUUUAGGUGCUACCAUUCACUGAAGGGGAACGCACGCAUCAUUGAAGCUCAACGCCUGUCUUUUGCACUUUUCAAACUGAAUCAUUUCAUUCGUGAAAUAAAUUGAUGGAUAAAGGGCAAUUGCCAAACAAUAUUAACGGCAAAAACAAACGAGUCUUUUUUUUUUUUCUUUUUCUUUUCUUUUCAUUAGAAUAUUUAAAGUAUUGGUUAGAGGUAUAAUUAUAAAAUAUAAUUGAUCUCAUAAUUAAUCUUUUCCUUUUCUUAAUAAUAAUCAUUAUAGUCUUGCUUUUGGUGUUAUAGUUGUUUUUUUUUUUUAAUAAUAAAAAAAUAAUGUAUUAUGUCAAUCGAAUGUGAUCUGAUUGGUAUUUCCAUUCACCUUGAGAAGUUUCAAAUUUUAGAUAGUUAACUAUCAGAGUUAUCGUCAAUUUUGCUUAUAAAACAACAAGAGAGCUACCUAUAUUAUGCAGCCCACAAAAAUUCUUUAUAAUAAAUUAAAAAAAUAUUAUUUUAUUAAAAUUGAUAUAUUAUAUUUGUUAUUUAAUAGUUUGAACUAGAAAAAUAAGCUACUAAAAUUCACACAGAUUUUCUUAAAUAUAAAUUUUUACUAUGAAAAAUAGAAAUCAAAGUCAGAAAACAGAAAUGAUACAAAAUAGACACGUAAUCAUAUUUGAUGAGCAUUUCUCAUAAUACACGUUAGCUUGUUUAGCUUGUUUCGUGUAAAUUGAUGAUCCCAUUCUGUUUCGACAUAAAUGGUAUCAUUGGUUAUUAUAAACAAUUUCAAAAAUUUUUGAGCUACCACCAUAAAUACAACUUGUAUGAUUUCAAUUUUCAAAUUUAAAAGUUAUCUAAUAUCUACUUUAUCAAUGGACCUACACCUUUCCAAAUUUCUUGUUAAUCUUAUGCAUUAGAAAAUUUAGCCAAAUAAAAUUGAUAUUAUAUAUCAAUUUUAUUUAUUUUUCAAUUUAAAAUCACAAGUUUAAUUAUCGGAAAAUGCAUAUACUAUGAAGAAAAAAUUUUUAUAAUCAACUAUCCAAAAGAGAUUAGUUUACACCAAUAUAGUAGAAGAAAAAUAGUGGAAGAACACGUGACGAUUCUAAUAUGAUAUACAUAAACUAAAAAUAUUUUAAAGGAGUCUUCACUUAUAAUUUUGUUUUCAAAAUUUAAUACUUGUAAUUUGUUUUAACCAACUAUUUACUAUUUUUAAUUGAUUUUGUAAACUCAAAACUCCAUUUAUUUUUCAAAAAAUAAUUUAUUUUUAAAAAAUAUUUUUAAAAGCAAAACAUACUUGAAAAUUUGAAAUAACACAUUUUCUAUUGUUUGGUUACAAUAUUGAAAAAUUGUUAAAAAAUAUUAAAGCUUUUAUAAGAUCGAAAAAAUUUAUAAUUAUAAAAAGUUUCACAUUUUAAAAUUUUAUUAUUUAAUACAACAUAAAUAUUUAUUACGUGCUUGAUUGUAAUUUGUAUCUAAGACUUAAUCAUAUUUUAUGGACCAAAGAUAUAUUUUGUAUAGAAUCCAGAUAGAAAUAAGAGAUUAUAUUCCUAAAUCCUUCGCUAACUCUCAAUGAACUAGCAAUCACUCCAAAAUACUUAUUGAAUUGGUAUUUCAAAUAUUUAUCUAAUAAAGAUUCCACCUACAACUCUAAUGAAAAUUCUUUACCUCUGUAUAAAAGAGGGAUCAAACUCCCUACUCACACUAUUUAGGCAAUGUAAUACCAAUAUAUUUCAUUCAAUUAUAAGUAUUUAUUAUUUAUUUACUGACUUAAACAUAAAAGUGAUUGCAGGCCUAGAUGAGACCUUUAUUAUUCGUUUAUGUCUUGCAGAUUUCUACGGACCUCUCUUUAUUUUUCCUUGUUCAUUUAUGUCUUACAGAUUUUUACAUAGGCGCUAUGGAUAGAUUUUUCUAAGUCUAUCAUUAUUAAAUAUGAGAAACAAUAUUAUAAAAAAAGAUAAAUUACGAUAUCUAUCGAUGACCGUGGUCGUGAAAAUAAUGAUUAAUUAAUAAUAAAUAUGUAUUUAUAAGUUUAUAAUAAAUUUAUCAGUAUCUGAAAAAUAUUUUUCUCUUUUAGAAAAAGAAAGUUAUAAAAAUGAUUUAGUUCUCUCUUUCUUAAGGAAAAUAUCAUCUGUUGCUAAUUUUCUUGAACACUUCAAACAUUAAAAAAAAAUCUAAAAAAUAUUAUUCAGACAAGUUAUUUCUCGAAAUUAAUGGAAUCUCAAUAUUAAUUUAUUAUUAUUUUUUCCAUUGAGAAAAAAAUAUAUUAGAUUUAUUCCACUAUUGAGAAUAAAGGAAAUCAUUUAAAAUAAGAAAGCUCAAAAAGUUAUAGCCGUAAUACUAAUAGCAUUAUUUCAAAUUUGUUUGACAUGAUGUAAUCAACCGAAAUGAUAAUUACAUUAUAUGAGUAAUUACAUUAUUUGAUUAGACUUUUUUUAAUAGCGUAGUAUAAUUGAGACUACGUGUAUAAUCUUCAUCACUUAAAUUGAUGUAAUACUCAUUACAUGAAAAAACACACAUAUUGUCUAUUACAUCAAGUAAAUGGAAUACCGAUUAUAUUAAGUCAUCCCAAUCAAAACUCUACCAUUCUAGAUUAUUUAGGCUGUGUUGGGUAAUAAAGUUUUGAGUGGCUUUUAAAGUUUUGACUGGUCAAAACGUUACUUAAAAAGUUGUUUGGUAACAUAGCGUUUGGACUAGCUUUUAGAGAUUAGAAUAACGUUUUGUGAAAAGUUAACUCACGUAACGUUUAGCUUUUAGCGUUUCAUGAAAAACUACUCAAACAGCUAACAACUAAACACUAUUAAAAUAGCAAAUAGCUACCAAAAUAGCUAAUUUUGCCGAACAUAUCCUUAAUACUACCACUUCACCACCACAACCACUAUCACCGCUUCACCACCACAGCACCACCUUAACACCCACCACAACCACUGCCACAAUUACUACUCCACCACCACCACCACCACUACUGUUCCAUCACUACUUCAACCACCAUUACCGCUCUGCAACGACAACCAUCACCAUUGUUCUACCAUCACCACUACUACCACCAUCACUGCUCCAUCACUAUCACCUCAACUACCACCACCGCUGCUGCUGCCUCAACUCCUACCAUCAUCGCUCCACCACCACUAUCACCACCAUCGCUUUACCACCACCACCAUGUGGUGGUGAUAUGAUUAGUGGUGAUGGUGUGCUAAUUAUAUUACAUAUUUACAAAAAAAAAAAAAAAGAACGAUGAUUAUAUUCCUAAAUUUUCUUGAUAAUAUUAUCAAACAUAGUAAUGAAAUCUUAAUUAAAUUACGUUUUUCAUCACAUUACUUCUUUAAUUACAUUAUAUUGCCUUACAUCAAACCAGACAUAGCGUUAGCAUGUAUAUCCUCAUACACAUCAAAACUUGACUCUAAUAUCUAUGAGAAAAAUGCACAGUUAAGCCCUUAAAUUUAAUCAGUUUUUCCAUUAAACUUUUAUUUAUGAAUAUUAAGUUUUUAAACUUUUAUUUUUUUUAAAAAAAUUAAACUCUAUUUAACCGAGAUUUAAACUUUUAUUUUUUUAAAUUAAACUCUUAUUUAAUUAUGAGUUAAACAAUUAUAAUCCCAUAUGUUAUACGCGGUUGAUGGGAAAACUUAAUCGAAUUGUUAAAUCUCUUAAACUUUUAUUUUUUGAAAAUUAAGUUUUUAAAUUUGUACUUUUGUUAAAGUGAGUAUUUAAAUUAUUUCCAUUAUCAGUGAUUUGAAUUUAUUAUUUACUCACUAUCGAUUUAGAACUUAAUUUUAACUUAAAUAAAAAUUGAAGGAUUCAAUAUUGAUAAAUGAAAUUGCAGGAGCUUAGUAGACAAAACUUGAAAAAUAAGAGGCUUAAGUACAUCUUUUACCAAAUAUAAUCAAGAGUUAAUUUACACUCACACAUAGGUGAGGAUAGGAUUAGGAUAGAAGUGUGGUAAGUGCCCGCGAACUUUGAGUUAUCCAUAUCUAUAUCUGUUUAGAGCUUUAAAAUCAAUUGUAUCUAUGUUAAAUCCGUUUAAAUACCUAUAUCAAAAUCUGUUUAAAAUUUUACUGUCCGAUCCAUUCAAAAUCUAUUUUAAAUACUUGUAUUUGAUGUUCAUAAAAUUUAAACCAUUUAAACACGAACUUAUUUAAAAAAGUAUCUUCCAUUGAUAAUGGAUAAAGUAUCAAGGAUACUCACAGUAAAACUCAUUUAAUAUAAUGGAUAACAAGUAACGAAUAUUCAAACUCAUUUAGUAAAACUCCUGAAUUCAAACGACAGGAUUUGCAAGUGAAGAGAGAUGGAACCUAAAACGGUUGGCUAUGUACUCAAUGUAGAUUCACUAACAAAGUACAACAAAUGCAAAUACCAAGUAAAAAGGAACAAAUGGUUAAGAAUUCAGACAAAGUCCUAACUUCAAAGUUCAAAGUUCAAACCAUAAAAUCAUUUCAGUAAGGAGAAAUCAAACUAAAACUUUUGAAUGUUAAAAUUUCAACUUUAACCACAGAACCAAAACCCUGUUAGCUAUGUACUAACACAAAGUGCAAGAAACACCGAGUACGAACUCAAGCACAGUAAGAUUGAGCUGGAUUGCCCAUAACCCAAAAACACUAGAAUGUGUCUGGUGUGGAGGGGUCCAGAAGCCAACUUAAAUAGAAGCAGAGGGACAACACUGGAAAUUAUGAUUUAAAAAAAAAAAAAAAAAAAAAACUAAAAAGCAAAGAGAGAAACAGACAAGAAAUAACCGUUGUAGGGGUGGCUUUUUGGGUUGGAUGCCAGGCUGACGCUUGAGCCCCCCUCAGAUGAUUCAGCUCACAUGGUCUAUCUGUACACUCUGGGUCCCACCCUCCACUUUCUCUCUCUACUACCCUCUUUGGAUUAGUUGUCAAAUGAUCCUUUUAUGUUAUCAUAUUACACACUUUCAUCCUAUCUAUUUCAAAGUUACUAACUUUAGUUAAUGAGAUUUAAUCUGCCAAAUGCAUAAAUUAAUAUCUAAAUUUUAUAAGAAGAGUCUAGUAGCACCUUUAAACGUUGAAAACUUCUUUUCGUAAAAUUAUAGCUAGUAAAUGCCUUAAUUUAAAAAACCGUAUUUAUUAAAUACUUAAACGUAUAUAAUUAUGUUUAUUAAAUAUUUAUCGGAUGAUUUAAAAUAUAAAAAUUUUAUUAUUUAAUAAAUUAUAUUAAAAGUUAUAUAAAAUGUUACACUUAUUGAAUAUAUUAUUUAGUAAUUGUUGUAAAAUUAAAAACCCUGUUUUUUUUUUUUUCAAAUUAAGUUGAUACUUAGUCUCAACUGUGCUUUUAUCCAUAAUUUUAAAUAAUUUAUUUGUAGAAACCCUAAAAACCAUAUAUUUUUCGUUGACAUAUCAUAAAAAUUAAAAUUAUUAAUUUCAAACUGUUUAAAUACUGGUAAAAUGUAAAAUAAUGCAAAUGGUGACAGUUUUUGCAACCAACUUUUUUUCUUGGAAAUUCUCUGUAUUACAAUCGUCUUUUAUAAUAUUUUUAUUAAUAUUAUUUUGUUCCAAACAUGCCCUUGUCUUAUCCAAAUAAUGCCCCGUACUCUCCUGCCCUUCUCUCUAUUCUUAUAAGGGCAGUGGCCUGUGGAUCAAAGACCACAGUCCCAAGAGAGAAGAGAAAGACAAAGCAAUUAAGCUCACAAGAGAGAAGCUCUUCUAUUUUCUAGAGUAAGAAAGAAGAAAGAAGACGAUGGCCAAGGAAGUAAGUGAAGAAACGCAAACUACCCAUGCAAAGGAUUAUGUUGAUCCACCACCUGCGCCACUGAUCGACAUGGCUGAAAUCAAGCUCUGGUCUUUCUACAGAGCUUUAAUAGCUGAGUUCAUAGCCACUCUCCUUUUCCUUUACAUAACUGUAGCCACUGUAAUUGGCUACAAGAAACAAACUGAUCCAUGUGGUGGAGUUGGUCUUUUGGGCAUUGCAUGGGCCUUUGGUGGCAUGAUCUUUAUCCUUGUUUACUGCACUGCCGGUAUAUCUGGUAAGUAAAAAAAAAAGGAACUAUUUCUCUAAGUUACUAGUACCCAAAUGGGUAUUUAUUAAGUUUUAGGUUUCUGUGAAGUUUCUUUGUGGAUUUGGUCAUUCAACUUGAAAAAUAACAAAACCCAUUUGUUUUCAAGACCUGUUUAAUAAUGGGUUUUCCUUAUUUUGGUUACAGGUGGUCAUAUUAACCCAGCAGUGACCUUUGGGCUGUUUUUAGCAAGAAAGGUGUCACUAAUUCGAGCCUUGGCUUACAUGGUGGCUCAGUGUUUAGGUGCCAUCUGUGGUGUAGGGUUGGUCAAAGCUUUUAUGAAGAAUCCAUAUAAUCAUCUUGGUGGUGGUGCUAACUCUGUAAAUACCGGCUAUAGCAAAGGAACUGCUUUGGGUGCUGAGAUCAUCGGCACUUUUGUUCUAGUCUACACUGUUUUCUCUGCAACUGACCCCAAGAGAAGUGCACGUGACUCACACGUUCCUGUAUGUUAUCAACCAUAGCCUAGUAUAGCUCUCCUCUUUCAUGUCAAAGAGUUCAAAUCUAAACUUUGUUUUGGUUAUGUUUGGUUGCAGAUUUUGGCUCCACUUCCAAUUGGGUUUGCAGUUUUUAUGGUUCACUUGGCUACCAUACCCAUUACUGGUACUGGUAUUAACCCAGCGAGGAGCUUCGGUGCUGCUGUUAUUUACAACAAUGAUAAAGUCUGGGAUGAUCAUGUAAGCCUCUUGAUAGUCAACCAGAAACUUAUUUUUCUUGAUUUUAUGGUUGUUUUGAAGUUGGUGCUUUUUAACAUAAAACAUCAGAAGUAGGUUAAUUUUCAAGAAUAUGUUUAUCUUCUUGAUAAAAUAAUUUAAUUUCCUUUUUAAUUAUUUUUUGGAUGGGCAGUGGAUUUUCUGGGUUGGACCGUUUGUUGGAGCAAUUGCAGCAGCUGCAUACCAUCAAUACAUACUGAGAGCAGCAGCUAUCAAAGCUUUGGGAUCUUUCCGCAGCAACCCCACCAACUAAAAUGAAAGAAAGAACGAAAGAAAGAAAAACAAGAAAAAAAAAAAAAACCAAAGGCUUUGUGUAGCUAUCUUUAGUCUCUAGUCUUUCUUUUUCUCUAUUUGUUUGUUUGUUGUGUGUAAUGAGAGGAUUAUGAUGAUGACCCUUCUUUCUUCUUUCUUUUUUUACUUCAUUUUUUCUUUUCUUAUUGUUCUUUUGUAUCAUUGUUAAUGAGUAGUGCUGUUCUUUUUUCUUUCUUUUGAUCAUAUUUAAUUGCUUUGUGCAGUGUAGAACGUUCUCUCUCAACACUCUUUUAAUAAUUAGCCACUAAAUAAACUACCAGCUAACUAAAUUUUUAUCCUCUCGACCUUCAUUACAGCGGUGCUAGUGAAUUUGUGAGUAGCGGUUAGGCCAUCUUCGGGAACAGUUUUUUCAUAUGGC
rnacentral:lncRNA from 1 species